rnacentral:rRNA from 1 species
GAUGAACGCUGGCGGCGUGCCUAAUACAUGCAAGUCGAGCGAAUGGAUUAAGAGCUUGCUCUUAUGAAGUUAGCGGCGGACGGGUGAGUAAUACGUGGGUAACCUGCCCAUAAGACUGGGAUAACUACGGGAAACCGGGGCUAAUACCGGAUAACAUUUUGAACCGCAUGGUUCGAAAUUGAAAGGCGGCUUCGGCUGUAACUUAUGGAUGGACCCGCGUCGCAUUAGCUAGUUGGUGAGGUAACGGCUCACCAAGGCAACGAUGCGGAGCCGACCUGAGAGGGUGAUCGGCCACACUGGGACUGAGACACGGCCCAGACUCCUACGGGAGGCAGCAGUAGGGAAUCUUCCGCAAUGGACGAAAGUCUGACGGAGCAACGCCGCGUGAGUGAUGAAGGCCUUCGGGUCGUAAAACUCUGUUGUUAGGGAAGAACAAGUGCUAGUUGAAUAAGCUGGCACCUUGACGGUACCUAACCAGAAAGCCACGGCUAACUACGUGCCAGCCGCCGCCGUAA